GACAGAGGGUGCAAACGUUGUUCGGAAUUACUGGGCGUAAAGCGUGCGCAGGCGGUUAUAUAAGACAGUUGUGAAAUCCCCGGGCUCAACCUGGGAACUGCAUCUGUGACUGUAUAGCUAGAGUACGGUAGAGGGGGAUGGAAUUCCGCGUGUAGCAGUGAAAUGCGUAGAUAUGCGGAGGAACACCGAUGGCGAAGGCAAUCCCCUGGACCUGUACUGACGCUCAUGCACGAAAGCGUGGGGAGCAAACAGG
rnacentral:rRNA from 1 species